AUGAACGCUGGCGGCGUGCUUCACCCAUGCAAGUCGAACGGUGAACACGGAGCUUGCUCUGUGGGAUCAGUGGCGAACGGGUGAGUAACACGUGAGCAACCUGCCCCUGACUCUGGGAUAAGCGCUGGAAACGGCGUCUAAUACUGGAUAUGUGACGUGACCGCAUGGUCUGCGUUUGGAAAGAUUUUUCGGUUGGGGAUGGGCUCGCGGCCUAUCAGCUUGUUGGUGAGGUAAUGGCUCACCAAGGCGUCGACGGGUAGCCGGCCUGAGAGGGUGACCGGCCACACUGGGACUGAGACACGGCCCAGACUCCUACGGGAGGCAGCAGUGGGGAAUAUUGCACAAUGGGCGCAAGCCUGAUGCAGCAACGCCGCGUGAGGGAUGACGGCCUUCGGGUUGUAAACCUCUUUUAGCAGGGAAGAAGCGAAAGUGACGGUACCUGCAGAAAAAGCGCCGGCUAACUACGUG
rnacentral:rRNA from 1 species